GCAAGUUAAAUUGGUUCUCGCACGGUCGCAACAAUUGGCAAAGGCUCCUUAUUCCACCCACCUCGCCCCGUUCUACCCUUUGCUCAGCUUUUGCCUCCUUUUUUCCCUCUAUUUGCUCUGAAGCUCUCUGUGUCUCUCGCACCCACAUCCAUUCUCUCUCUCAAAACUACGUCCCUUUCAUGGCUUCCUUUACGUAUCUCACUCUGUAAGUCACAAAUCUAACCCACCCUCCUCUCUCUUUCAGCUUCGCAAAGCAGGAAAACAAAGCAGAACAAGAAAACAAAACCCUAGAAAUUUACACUAUGGUUUCUUUCAUGAUAUGAGUUUCUUAAUUUAUUUCAUUUUGUUUUGUCUUGUUUUUUCGUGUUUAAGCAUUUCACUUCAAGACUGAGACUAGGUUUUCCCCUUUCUUCUUGCUAUUUUGCCAGUUAGAUUUGCCACUUUCUUCUCUCUCCAAAUUCAGAAUGCUUGUUCCUUGUUUUUUCUGUUAAUUUGCUUUCAAUUUUCCCCCUCUAGGUUUUCUGCUUAAUUGUUAAUUUGCUGCGUAAAUGUUGAUUUACUAUCAAGUUUUAUCUGUCGCAGUGUGCAUCUUAUGCUUGAUCUGAUAUGGGUUUAAUUCCUCACAUGUUGGUUAACCCCACCUUGCUUCACUCACCGAGGAUAGUGUUUGAAUAGUAAGGUUUCUGGGUUUGCUUCCGUUUUCACACUGAGAUAGAGAAUCUUGAACUGGGCAUGGUGGGUAAAGAGGAUGCCUCCAGUAAUUCUCGGGCUCCGUGCCAAGUUUCUGGCAACCAUAGGAUGUUUCUGCGCUCGGCAUCGUGGUCCUCUUCCCGUGCUGCCUCUCAAAACCCGGAUUCUGGAGAGAGAGAAUGCGGGGAUCCAAAUGGUAAUGUAGGAAACAAUAACGGGCAAAACCGUCGGUUUCCUGCUCCAUUAACCCCGCGAUCACAGCAGAAUUUCAAAGCUCGGUCAUGUUUACCGCCACUGCAGCCAUUGGCUAUUGCUCGCCGGAGCUUGGAUGAAUGGCCCAAGGCUGGGUCAGAUGAUAUUGGCGAGUGGCCAGGACCACCUACACCAAGUGGGAGAGGGAGUGGGGAGAGAUUGAAGCUUGAUUUGUCAUCCAUCGAGCGAAACCCGGAGAAGAAUGGCGGGCUUGUGAAGAGGGAUAAGAUCGCUUCCUUUGAUAAGGAGUGCUCAAAAGUGGCUGACCACAUAUAUCUCGGUGGGGAUGCAGUUGCAAAAGAUAAGGAUAUACUAAAACAGAAUGGGAUUACUCAUGUUCUGAACUGUGUAGGUUUUGUUUGUCCUGAGUAUUUCAAAGAUGAUUUUAUGUACAGAACUUUGUGGUUGCAGGACAGUCCAUCCGAGGAUAUUACUAGCAUUUUAUAUGAUGUUUUUGACUACUUUGAAGAUGUUAGAGAACAGGGUGGAAGGGUCUUUGUUCAUUGUUGCCAAGGGGUGUCUAGAUCCACAUCCUUGGUGAUUGCGUAUCACAUGUGGAGAGAAGGACAGAGUUUUGAUGAUGCCUUUCAGUAUGUCAAGGCAGCGAGGGGUAUUGCGGAUCCAAAUAUGGGUUUUGCUUGCCAAUUGUUACAGUGCCAAAAGAGAGUUCAUGCAUUCCCUCUUAGCCCGAGUUCUUUAUUAAGGAUGUAUAGAAUGGCCCCACACUCGUCCUAUGAUCCUUUGCAUCUUGUCCCAAAAAUGUUAAAUGAUCCUUCCUCGUCUGCACUGGAUUCUAGGGGUGCGUUUAUUGUCCAUAUACCUUCUGCAAUAUAUGUUUGGAUUGGUAAGAACUGUGAGACCAUCAUGGAAGAGGAUGCAAGAGGGGCUGUAUGUCAGAUUGUUCGGUAUGAGAGAGUGCAAGGGCCAGUAAAGAUGAUAAAGGAAGGAGAGGAACCGGCUCAUUUCUGGGAUGCUUUUAAGCACCUUUUACCUUUGAUGGAGAAACCGAGCGAUGGUUUAGAGGCUGGAGAAUUAAAAGUCAAGAUUUGUACAGGUGACAGGAAAGUGGACUCCUAUAAUGUUGAUUUUGAGAUAUUCCAGAAAGCUAUUAAGGGGGGUUUUGUGCCUCCACUUGCGUCAUCUGAGAAUGAACAUGAAACGCACCUUCCUGCCAGAGGAAGCAGUUGGAGUGUAUUAAGGCUUAAGUUUGCAUCUGGCGACAUGAAAGAGUUUGUGGCAGCUCCCAAAUUGUACCUCUCAAGGGUCUACUCAGAUUCUAGGAUGAUAGGACAUCCAUCCACAAAUGUAUCAUCACCUUCAUCAUCAUUCUCUUCAGCAUCGUCACCUUCAUCAUCAUUCUCGUCAUCAUCGUUGUCAUCUUCAUCUUCUGCUUCUUCACCUCCUUAUCUCUCUCCAAAUUCCAUCUGUUCAGAUUCAGGCGCCAGUUCAAAGUACUUGUCAGAAUCCUCUCUGGAUUCACCUUCUGUGGCUUCGUGUUCUCUUCCAGUAUCUUCAACUUUGCCUAACUUUUCUAACUUGUCCCUCGUGUCAUCCAAAACUUCUAAUGUUCCAGAAACUGUUGGUGUCAAUUUGAAGUUGCAGCCUCGUUCUAAAUCAACUUCUUCUGUCCAAUCUAAAGUAUUUUCACCUUCCCUUGCUGAACGCAGGGGGAGCUUAUCAAAGUCUCUGAAAUUGCCAUUGAUGGCUGAUAAUAUGAGAGUGGCAUAUACCCCCUCAAGUUAUAUUGAUGAUCAAGUAGACGGUGUUAGGAUGAACAAUAAUACUUGCCCUCCAUGUGAACUAGAUAGGAUAGAAGAUAAAGUUGACUUCAAGGAUGCUGUUGAUAGUGGGCUGGGAGAUUUAACUAAAUCCUGGAAAAAACAUCCUCUGGGAAAUGACCUGGGUUCUUCUGUUUCAAAUGGGAUGGUGGAAAGUGGGUCAGCACAUUGUAACAGUAUGCAACCUUUAGUAUGCCGAUGGCCCAGUUUAGAAAAGAUUGCAACAUUUGGUGCAACUGAUAUGAAUUCUAAAGAUGCUUUUGCUAUUUUCUCUCCAGAUUUAGGCAAAAAUGAGAAUAGAAUAUUAUAUUUUUGGGUAGGAAGGUCUUUCGACCAUGAUGCAAGCCAGAUUCAAUUAGACAGUGACAUAGAGUUAGAUGAUAGAAAAGAGCUUGAUUGGAAACAAAUUGGUCGUGAUGCUCUUAACCAAAUGGGUCUUCCGAGAGACACCGCUAUCAAGAUUGUUAAAGAAUAUGAAGAGCCAAUGGAGUUUCUUGCAUUGUUGAGUUCGUUGUAGUCGCAUAGAUUCUGCAAUACAAUGCGCUGGUUCUUUCUCUGUUUCUUAGGUUGGCUCAACUCCCUGCAACUUUCUCGAUAAUCAAGAUAAACAUUCCCUGAUAAAAAAUCAUUGAGGAGGCUGCUUUUGAAGUUGGUGCGUGGCUCAUCACCUGGUUGUACAGCAUCGUAACACUCUUACUUUCAUGUAACAUUCAUUUUCUUGUAUAUUCACACCAUUAGAAACAAUCUCAGAGGGUCUUGGCAGACAGAAUAGAUGCAGUUGAUACUUUCUUUGCUGGAUUCUCUUGUUAUUAUUUCUUCAUUUGAAUCGUCCUUCAGUGGUUAGUUAUCCUCAAAUUCUAUGCGCAA